CCUACGGGAGGCAGCAGUGAGGAAUAUUGGUCAAUGGCCGGAAGGCUGAACCAGCCAUGCCGCGUGAAGGUCAGUGCCCUAUGGGCGUUAAACUUCUUUUGUGCGGGAGCAAUAAUGGUCACGUGUGGCCAGACGAGAGUACCGUACGAAUAAGCAUCGGCUAACUCCGUGCCAGCAGCCGCGGUAAUACGGGGGAUGCAAGCGUUAUCCGGAGUUAUUGGGGUUAAAGGGUGCGUAGGCUGUGAGGUAAGUCGGCGGUGAAAUGCCCCCGCUCAACGGGGUGAAGUGCCAUUGAUACUGCCUUGCUGGAAUGCGGAUGCCGUGGGAGGAAUGUGUGGUGUAGCGGUGAAAUGCAUAGAUAUCACACAGAACACCGAUUGCGAAGGCAUCUCACGAAUCCGCGAUUGACGCUGAUGCACGAAAGCGUGGGUAUCAAACAGGAUUAGAUACCCCAGUAGUC
rnacentral:rRNA from 1 species